rnacentral:rRNA from 1 species
AUUGAACGCUGGCGGCAGGCCUAACACAUGCAAGUCGAGCGGAUGAAAGGAGAUUGAUACAGGAUAAAGAGGAGGAAGAAUAAAACACACAAACGAAAAAGAAUGGACGUGGGGGAUAACGUCCGGAAACGGGCGCUAAUACCGCAUACGUCCUGAGGGAGAAAGUGGGGGAUCUUCGGACCUCACGCUAUCAGAUGGGCCUAGGUCGGAUUAGCUAGUUGGUGGGGUAAAGGCCUACCAAGGCGACGAUCCGUAACUGGUCUGAGAGGAUGAUCAGUCACACUGGAACUGAGACACGGUCCAGACUCCUACGGGAGGCAGCAGUGGGGAAUAUUGGACAAUGGGCGAAAGCCUGAUCCAGCCAUGCCGCGUGUGUGAAGAAGGUCUUCGGAUUGUAAAGCACUUUAAGUUGGGAGGAAGGGCAGUAAGUUAAUACCUUGCUGUUUUGACGUUACCAACAGAAUAAGCACCGGCUAACUUCGUG